UACAGAGGUCUCAAGCGUUGUUCGGAUUCAUUGGGCGUAAAGGGUGCGUAGGUGGCGCGCUAAGUCAGGUGUGAAAUCCCGAGGCUUAACCUCGGGACUGCAUUUGAUACUGGCGUGCUUGAGGACUGGAGAGGAGACUGGAAUUUACGGUGUAGCAGUGAAAUGCGUAGAGAUCGUAAGGAAGACCAGUGGCGAAGGCGGGUCUCUGGACAGUUCCUGACACUGAGGCACGAAGGCCAGGGGAGCAAACGGG
rnacentral:rRNA from 1 species